rnacentral:rRNA from 1 species
ACGAACGCUGGCGGCGUGCUUAACACAUGCAAGUCGAACGGAAAGGCCUGCUUUCCCUUGUGGAUUGCGGGUACUCGAGUGGCGAACGGGUGAGUAACACGUGAGUGAUCUGCCCCCAACUUGGGUAUAAGCCUGGGAAACUGGGUCUAAUUCCCGAUAGGACUGCAGGGUGGUGCCUGUGGUGGAAAACGAUUUUCUAGUGGUUGGGGAUGAGCUCGCGGCCUAUCAGCUUGUUGGUGGGGUAAUGGCCUACCAAGGCGGCGACGGGUAGCCGGCCUGAGAGGGUGGACGGCCACAUUGGGACUGAGAUACGGCCCAGACUCCGACGGGAGGCAGCAGUGGGGAAUAUUGCACAAUGGGCGGAAGCCUGAUGCAGCGACGCCGCGUGGGGGAUGACGGCCUUCGGGUUGUAAACUCCUUUCGACCGCGAGGAAGCCACCUGGUUGGAAGGGUGGUGACGGUAGUGGUAGAAGAAGCACCGGCUAACUACGUG